UACGUAGGUCCCGAGCGUUGUCCGGAUUUAUAGGGCGUAAAGCGAGCGCAGGCGGUUUGAUAAGUCUGAAGUUAAAGGCUGUGGCUCAACCAUAGUUCGCUUUGGAAACUGUCAAACUUGAGUGCAGAAGGGGAGAGUGGAAUUCCAUGUGUAGCGGUGAAAUGCGUAGAUAUAUGGAGGAACACCGGUGGCGAAAGCGGCUCUCUGGUCUGUAACUGACGCUGAGGCUCGAAAGCGUGGGGAGCGAACAGG
rnacentral:rRNA from 1 species